rnacentral:rRNA from 1 species
GUUCUAUNUUGUAAUAUCUUGAAAUUACUAAAUAGGUGAAAAUACCUAUUUAACUAAUAAAAGACGAGAAGACCCUAGAAAUUUUUUAUAAAGUAUAUAUAAAUACUAUUAUUUUGUUGGGGCGACAGAAUAACAGUUAACUUAUUUUAUUCUAUAUUUGAAUUUUUUAUAAUGAGAAAUAAAAUUACUCUAGGGAUAACAGCAUAAUUAUAUUAUAGUUUGUGACCUCGAUGUUGGACUAAGGAAGGUUAUAUUCAGAAGAUAUAACAGCAUGUUCUGUUCGAACAAAUAAUCCUUACAUGAUCUGAGUUCG